rnacentral:rRNA from 1 species
AGGCUUAACACAUGCAAGUCGAGGGGCAGCAUUUUAGUUUGCUUGCAAACUGAAGAUGGCGACCGGCGCACGGGUGAGUAACACGUAUCCAACCUGCCGAUAACUCCGGAAUAGCCUUUCGAAAGAAAGAUUAAUACCGGAUAGCAUACGAAUAUCGCAUGAUAUUUUUAUUAAAGAAUUUCGGUUAUCGAUGGGGAUGCGUUCCAUUAGUUUGUUGGCGGGGUAACGGCCCACCAAGACUACGAUGGAUAGGGGUUCUGAGAGGAAGGUCCCCCACAUUGGAACUGAGACACGGUCCAAACUCCUACGGGAGGCAGCAGUGAGGAAUAUUGGUCAAUGGGCGAGAGCCUGAACCAGCCAAGUAGCGUGAAGGAUGAAGGCUCUAUGGGUCGUAAACUUCUUUUAUAUGGGAAUAAAGUUUUCCACGUGUGGAAUUUUGUAUGUACCAUAUGAAUAAGGAUCGGCUAACUCCGUGCCAGCAGCCGCGGUAAUACGGAGGAUCCGAGCGUUAUCCGGAUUUAUUGGGUUUAAAGGGAGCGUAGGUGGAUUGUUAAGUCAGUUGUGAAAGUUUGCGGCUCAACCGUAAAAUUGCAGUUGAAACUGGCAGUCUUGAGUACAGUAGAGGUGGGCGGAAUUCGUGGUGUAGCGGUGAAAUGCUUAGAUAUCACGAAGAACUCCGAUUGCGAAGGCAGCUCACUAGACUGUCACUGACACUGAUGCUCGAAAGUGUGGGUAUCAAACAGGAUUAGAUACCCUGGUAGUCCACACAGUAAACGAUGAAUACUCGCUGUUUGCGAUAUACAGUAAGCGGCCAAGCGAAAGCAUUAAGUAUUCCACCUGGGGAGUACGCCGGCAACGGUGAAACUCAAAGGAAUUGACGGGGGCCCGCACAAGCGGAGGAACAUGUGGUUUAAUUCGAUGAUACGCGAGGAACCUUACCCGGGCUUAAAUUGCAACAGAAUAUAUUGGAAACAGUAUAGCCGUAAGGCUGUUGUGAAGGUGCUGCAUGGUUGUCGUCAGCUCGUGCCGUGAGGUGUCGGCUUAAGUGCCAUAACGAGCGCAACCCUUAUCUUUAGUUACUAACAGGUCAUGCUGAGGACUCUAGAGAGACUGCCGUCGUAAGAUGUGAGGAAGGUGGGGACGACGUCAAAUCAGCACGGCCCUUACGUCCGGGGCUACACACGUGUUACAAUGGGGGGUACAGAAGGCGGCUACCUGGUGACAGGAUGCUAAUCCCAAAAACCUCUCUCAGUUCGGAUCGAAGUCUGCAACCCGACUUCGUGAAGCUGGAUUCGCUAGUAAUCGCGCAUCAGCCAUGGCGCGGUGAAUACGUUCCCGGGCCUUGUACACACCGCCCGUCAAGCCAUGAAAGCCGGGGGUACCUGAAGUACGUAACCGCAAGGAGCGUCCUAGGGUAAAACUGGUAAUUGGGGCUAAAU